UAACCUGCCCAAGAGAUCGGGAUAACACCUGGAAACAGAUACUAAUACCGGAUAAUAACAGAUGAUGCCUAUCAACUGUUUAAAAGAUGGUUCUGCUAUCACUCUUGGAUGGACCUGCGGUGCAUUAGCUAGUUGGUAGGGUAACGGCCUACCAAGGCGAUGAUGCAUAGCCGAGUUGAGAGACUGAUCGGCCACAUUGGGACUGAGACACGGCCCAAACUCCUACGGGAGGCAGCAGCA
rnacentral:rRNA from 1 species